UGGCCAGCCCUGGAGAGGGAAGUUCUUUAUUCUCAGCACAAGUACAGCAAGGGUAGCAGCACUGUAAGCUUCCCUGCGCUGCCCCUGGCAACAUGUCCUAAAUCCUGCCCUGUAGGGACUACCUUCGAUGACAUGGGAGCUCCAUGUCCAUGGCCCAUUCAGCCCCUGGUUACU
ensembl:misc_RNA